GCCGGGCCUCCCUCUCUCCCACCCGCCGCCCGGCUCGGCGUUCCCUCGGCUGGAGUUCUCCAUCCCCAGGAUCCCGGGCUCGCGGGGGCGCGAAGAGGACCCAGGAAAGCCGUUUAGGGGCAUCCUCAUACUCAUGCUGUGGACCCCACUCAUCAAGGAGACAUGCUACUCCAUACCACAUGGGCAGCCACCCUGGACCUCAUCUUUCCUCGGAAGAACCCUAGUUGUACAUCUUUUCAGUCAAGAGCAGAGAUAAUGCAGGCGCGAUGGCGUGAAGGAUGGCUCUCCUGUGAAGAACACAGACAGCAAACACCUGGAGGCAAAGCAAUCCAAAAGAGCUGCCUAGAGAAGCAAAUAGCAGUGCUACGGUGGGGAAAAUUUGAACACCAGCCACAGGACACCAAUAAACAUAACACACUUGACCUUACUGAUGAAGAGCACCCAUUAGGAAUUAUUAGAGUCAAUCCCGGAACCCUGGUCACUGACUUUGGUAAUGCCCAGCACAGGACUGAUGGCCGUCUGUUUCCCAGAAUUUCUCAUCGGUGAACUCCACUCACAGAACCGUAGCGCUGAGCCAAGCGAAGCUCCAUCACCUGGGCCAAGUUCCCAUUGAAAUGUGUGUGUGUUUGGGGUGCCUAAUGAUUAUUUUCAGUCUCGGUUCCUGAUUAUCUGGUUUGGGUUUUGCACGAUUAAUUAGGAGCCUAAAUUAAUGCGAAGGGAAACACGUGUCCAGCUGGGCCCCCCAGAUGUUCCUGGAGAGAAACUCUCCAAUUUGCUCAGCAGCGUGGCAGUGUAAACAUGGCUUGGGGGGAUGCUGGGAACUGCUGCUGUCCUCAGUACUCCUGGCGGGGAGGACCGUGGGGCUGACUGGGCAACUGGUACCCAGGCCUGGGAUGGUGUCCCGUAUUGCACCAUCACCCAGUGAUCCACUUUCCCUUCUUACUGUGGCC